AACGAACGCUGGCGGCAUGCCUAACACAUGCAAGUCGAACGAGACCUUCGGGUCUAGUGGCGCACGGGUGCGUAACGCGUGGGAACCUGCCCUUAGGUGCGGAAUAACUCCCCGAAAGGGGUGCGAGUACCGGAUAAUGUCUUCGGACCAAAGAUUUAUCGCCUUUGGAUGGGCCCGCGUUGGAUUAGCUAGUUGUUAGGGUAAAAGCCUACCAAGGCGACGAUCCAUAGCUGGUCUGAGAGGAUGAUCAGCCACACUGGGACUGAGACACGGCCCAGACUCCUACGGGAGGCAGCAGUGGGGAAUAUUGGACAAUGGGCGAAAGCCUGAUCCAGCAAUGCCGCGUGAGUGAUGAAGGCCUUAGGGUUGUAAAGCUCUUUUACCCGGGAUGAUAAUGACAGUACCGGGAGAAUAAGCUCCGGCUAACUCCGU
rnacentral:rRNA from 1 species